rnacentral:rRNA from 1 species
CGCUCGACAUCAGAGUUUGAUCCUGGCUCAGGAUGAACGCUAGCUACAGGCUUAACACAUGCAAGUCGAGGGGCAGCAUGGGCUUAGCUUGCUAAGCCCGAUGGCGACCGGCGCACGGGUGAGUAACACGUAUCCAACCUUCCGGUAACUCCGGUAUAGCCUUUCGAAAGAAAGAUUAAUCCCGGAUAGUAUGGUGAUUCCGCAUGGUUUCUCCAUUAAAGGAUUCCGGUUACCGAUGGGGAUGCGUUCCAUUAGUUUGUUGGUAAGGUAACGGCUUACCAAGACUACGAUGGAUAGGGGGACUGAGAGGUUGACCCCCACACUGGUACUGAGAUACGGACCAG